CGCUGAGUUUAAGAGAAUUACCAACAUCCCACUUCAGUCAAAGUCUUUGUCUCAACUGGAUCUCCAUCUUGGCAACCUGGUGAAGCUGUUCAAAAGAAGAGGAGGACAGCUUGGACAAAAGCUGGCACAAAUGGAUGAUUGUGAAGAUGUUGAUGCUGGACGCGAGUGUGUCAUUAAGGGAGUGUGUGUCUACAUGGGAGAAGAUCCUGACCACCUCAUCCGGGAGUAUGUGGGCAUGGAUGAGGCUGCCAUCAGUGAGGCCAUUGAAGACACCACUGUUGGAACUUAUCUUCUUAAAGAGGAGGCUUCAGCAGAUGAACAGGAGAUUG